UUCAGACUUGUGUGAUAUUCGCAGUGGUAAGAACUGAACAGCCCUUUCCUUUAGUCUGUAGGAUGCAACUACAAGCAGAAGGUUUAGAUCAACAUACAUGUGGGUCCCAGACUCAGAUCCUGAUACCGAUGCUGACUUUCCCUAUGGCUUAAGGUGCUUACAGCAAGAACGGUGUUGGUCUCUUCUCACUGGUGACAGGUGACAGGAAGAGGGGAAAUGGCCUCAAGUUGCACCAGGGAAUGAAAUCACAUUUGAAGAUUCAAUGCUUUAUGAAACUGAAGUGCUAUUUUCUACCAUCUCUGCUUUGAGCGUUCAUGUUCAGCUUUGAGAGUUGGUGGCUUAAAGGAAGAGUGAACAGCCAGCAAAGCAGUGCCUGGCUCUUCUGAAGCUGCUGAAACACUGGCAGACCAAGGGCAGAAGGACACAGCAGCAAGUUUCAUGUCGGAUGUGAGCAAUGAAAGAAGAGAGAUCAUAGAGACCCACAAGUUUAUACAGACCAUGAGCUCCAAAAGAAGCUGAUUGACAUCUUGAUUCAUACAAAGAUAAGCUUACUUUAUAUGUAAAUGUUUAAUUACUAAGGAAAAUCUCCUCUGUGCAGCCAGCCCCAAAUUUCCAGAACUUUCUGUCUUCACAUUGUCUUCUGCUAAUUACAUAUCACCUUCUUGGAUCUCAGAAUGAGCCAGACCAUAAACUUUGUAGGAGAGAUUGCAUCCCAUGUUCUAAUACACUGGCAAGAAACAUGGGACCACAAUUCUUAAAAUAAGAUAAAUCUAUAUGUAAUAUAGUUCUAGAUGUAAUAUAGUUCUCAGUUUAAGAUGAAUGUAUCCUAUUCAGCUCACUUCUCAGGGCUCAUUAACACUGAAAAAUUAAGCAGCAUUUCCCUUUGGAGCAGUGUCAUUCCUCAGAAUAUCACACUGAAGGUUUUCCUUUCCAAAUCUUCUCUUUAUUUUUCACUUUCAGGCUACAAGAAGUUACGGAAAUAUAUAAGGAAAUUCAGAUUCUCUGAAUACCCUGAAAUGUUCGAUUUCAUGAGAGUUUUAUUAGUGACUUCCACGAAUCCUAAAUUCAAAUGAACUUUCAAGGCACAUCUAAAUAGCUAGAUGCUUAUCUGACCUGUAUCUAACCUCCCAACCUUUUGUGGCUGACACCAUCACUUAAUCUCUUAUGUGCAUGUGUACUCACACUGCAGAUAGAUGCAUACAAACUGCUAAAGCAUCAUCUUUUUUCUUAUAUUUUUUUCCCCUUGAGCUCUUUUUCCUUUUCAUGAAGUUUCUUCCUAAGUAUCAUCAGUUUUUGGGGCUGCCUGACCCACAUGGAUGACAGGUUAAGGAGUAUAAUCUGUCUGGUAGUAUGCCAAGAAGCAAAAAUCUAAUUUUAGUAAACAAGCGUUGAUGCAAAAGGUCACCAAACUCUGUUAGCCCUUACGUGGGAAUUGGGAACUAAACAUUGUACAGUGAGGUUGUUGCCAAGAACAUGACUCUAAUGGCUUAACAUACUGCCAGUGACAUGUGGGAGUGGUGAAGGCAAGAGGAGAAACCCUUGAAGGAAAGGAUAGACUCUGCCCUUGCUGGUGUGGAGAAAAGAUAAUAACUAUGUACAGUAUAUAC
ensembl:lncRNA